rfam:Aspergillus bombycis strain NRRL26010 contig00007, whole genome shotgun sequence.
GGGCGCGUGGUUUAGUGGUAUAACGCCUGAUUUGCAUUCAGGAGGUCCCGGUUUCGAUUACCGGCGUGUCCA